ACGGUACUAUGUGCCAGAGCGGAUCUAGGACGGCGAUUGCUAACCGUAGUGGCGACACUCGAGUAAAUCGAGUUACUCAACCUGCAUUCGAUACGGGUUGACUAGAGUGUGGUAGGGGAGACUGGAAUUCCUGGNUGUAGCGGUUGGAAUGCGCAGAUAUCAGGAGGAACACCGAUGGCGAAGGCAGGUCUCUGGGCCAUUACUGACACUGAGGAGCGAAAGUGUGGGGAGCGAACAGGAUUAGAUACCCUGGUAGUCCACACCGGUAAACGGUGGGCGCUAAGUUGUGGGAACCUUCCACGGUUU
rnacentral:rRNA from 1 species